UACAGAGGUCCCGAGCGUUGUCCGGAUUUACUGGGCGUAAAGAGCGCGCAGGCGGUCGUUCAAGUCGCGUGUGAAAGCCCCCGGCUCAACUGGGAGGGUCACGCGAUACUGAUCGACUGGAAGGCAGGAGAGGGUAGUGGAAUUCCCGGUGUAGUGGUGAAAUGCGUAGAUAUCGGGAGGAACACCAGUGGCGAAGGCGACUACCUGGCCUGUUCUUGACGCUGAGGCGCGAAAGCUAGGGGAGCAAACGGG
rnacentral:rRNA from 1 species